rnacentral:rRNA from 1 species
AACGAACGCUGGCGGCAUGCCUAACACAUGCAAGUCGAACGAAGGCUUCGGCCUUAGUGGCGCACGGGUGCGUAACGCGUGGGAAUCUGCCCUUUGCUUCGGAAUAACAGUUAGAAAUGACUGCUAAUACCGGAUGUUGUCGCAAGGCCAAAGAUUUAUCGGCAAAGGAUGAGCCCGCGUAGGAUUAGCUAGUUGGUGGGGUAAAGGCCUACCAAGGCGACGAUCCUUAGCUGGUCUGAGAGGAUGAUCAGCCACACUGGGACUGAGACACGGCCCAGACUCCUACGGGAGGCAGCAGUGGGGAAUAUUGGACAAUGGGCGAAAGCCUGAUCCAGCAAUGCCGCGUGAGUGAUGAAGGCCUUAGGGUUGUAAAGCUCUUUUACCCGGGAUGAUAAUGACAGUACCGGGAGAAUAAGCUCCGGCUAACUCCGUG